GCCCCAGAAAGCUUCAUGGUCACGCCACGUAUGGGAUGCUCGGCAGCUGCCCUGGCUGGGAUCUAACAACAGGAAGCCAGCGGACCUCACGGGGCCAUUCCCAGGCUUAGAUUGAAGGGAAUCUAAGUUCGGGAAAACAAUUGGUACAGGAUGUGCAGCUUGAAGAAGCUGAGGGGAUGAGUAUACUAAAUAUGCCACACUGUCUGCACCAUGCCAGAUUUGCUAUCUGCAAUUGCACAUCUGCCAGUGACCUCUGUCUGUUACUGAAGAAGGCUGCUGGCUUCUUUGCUGUAUAUCCUGAUCACGCUGACUUCCU
rnacentral:lncRNA from 1 species